rnacentral:rRNA from 1 species
UACGUAGGCAGCAAGCGUUGUUCGGAGUUACUGGGCGUAAAGGGUGCGUAGGCGGCUUUUAAGUUUGGUGUGAAAUCUCCCGGCUCAACUGGGGAGGGUGCGCCGAAUACUGAGAGGCUAGAGUGUGGGAGAGGAAAGUGGAAUUCCUGGUGUAGCGGUGAAAUGCGUAGAUAUCAGGAGGAACACCGGUGGUGUAAACGCUUUCUGGACCAUAACUGACACUGAGGCACGAAAGCGUGGUAGCAAACAGG